rnacentral:rRNA from 1 species
UUUUAUGAGAGUUUGAUCCUGGCUCAGGACGAACGCUGGCGGCGUGCCUAAUACAUGCAAGUCGAACGCUUCUUUUUCCACCGGAGCUUGCUCCACCGGAAAAAGAGGAGUGGCGAACGGGUGAGUAACACGUGGGUAACCUGCCCAUCAGAAGGGGAUAACACUUGGAAACAGGUGCUAAUACCGUAUAACAAUCGAAACCGCAUGGUUUUGAUUUGAAAGGCGCUUUCGGGUGUCGCUGAUGGAUGGACCCGCGGUGCAUUAG